UGGCCGAGGUACCACGCAGUGUCAAAGGUAGUCAUAAUCACUUGUUCUUUAAUUGGGGACUGGUAUGAAAGAAAGUUUGAGGUCUAAUCUGUCUCUUUUUUGUUUUAAAAUUUGCUGUCUGUGUGAAGAAGCACAGGUUGUUAAAAAAGACAAGAAGACCCUUUUAAGCUUUAUUUAGAACUCUUUGGUUUUUUCUUUUAAGAAUUUGGCCAAGGUCUAUAAAUUUGGUUGGGGUGACUGAAGAAGAGAAAAUCUUCUUUUGUUUGCUAGUACUUUAGGUUAAAAAAUGACCCAAGAUUUCUUGGUUGUAAGAUAUUAGUUACUAAAGGGAUAACAGCGUAAUCUUUUCAAAGAGUUCUUAUUGAAGAAAAGGAUUGCGACCUCGAUGUUGACUUGCUUUUUCCUGUUAUGGUGUAGAAGCUGCAAGGGUUGGUCUGUUCGACCAUUAAAAUAGU
rnacentral:rRNA from 1 species